rnacentral:rRNA from 1 species
UUGAACGCUGGCGGCAGGCCUAACACAUGCAAGUCGAACGGUAACAGGAAGCAGCUUGCUGUUUCGCUGACGAGUGGCGGACGGGUGAGUAAUGUCUGGGAAACUGCCUGAUGGAGGGGGAUAACUACUGGAAACGGUAGCUAAUACCGCAUAACGUCGCAAGACCAAAGAGGGGGACCUUCGGGCCUCUUGCCAUCGGAUGUGCCCAGAUGGGAUUAGCUAGUAGGUGGGGUAACGGCUCACCUAGGCGACGAUCCCUAGCUGGUCUGAGAGGAUGACCAGCCACACUGGAACUGAGACACGGUCCAGACUCCUACGGGAGGCAGCAGUGGGGAAUAUUGCACAAUGGGCGCAAGCCUGAUGCAGCCAUGCCGCGUGUAUGAAGAAGGCCUUCGGGUUGUAAAGUACUUUCAGCGGGGAGGAAGGGAGUAAAGUUAAUACCUUUGCUCAUUGACGUUACCCGCAGAAGAAGCACCGGCUAACUCCGUGCCAGCAGCCGCGGUAAUACGGAGGGUGCAAGCGUUAAUCGGAAUUACUGGGCGUAAAGCGCACGCAGGCGGUUUGUUAAGUCAGAUGUGAAAUCCCCGGGCUCAACCUGGGAACUGCAUCUGAUACUGGCAAGCUUGAGUCUCGUAGAGGGGGGUAGAAUUCCAGGUGUAGCGGUGAAAUGCGUAGAGAUCUGGAGGAAUACCGGUGGCGAAGGCGGCCCCCUGGACGAAGACUGACGCUCAGGUGCGAAAGCGUGGGGAGCAAACAGGAUAAGCUACCCUGGUAGUCCACGCCGUAACCGAUGUCGACUUGGAGGUUGUGCCCUUGAGGCGUGGCUUCCGGAGCUAACGAGUUAAGUCGACCGCCUGGGGAGUACGGCCGCAAGGUUAAAACUCAAAUGAAUUGACGGGGGCCCGCACAAGCGGUGGAGCAUGUGGUUUAAUUCGAUGCAACGCGAAGAACCUUACCUGGUCUUGACAUCCACAGAACUUUCCAGAGAUGGAUUGGUGCCUUCGGGAACUGUGAGACAGGUGCUGCAUGGCUGUCGUCAGCUCGUGUUGUGAAAUGUUGGGUUAAGUCCCGCAACGAGCGCAACCCUUAUCCUUUGUUGCCAGCGGUCCGGCCGGGAACUCAAAGGAGACUGCCAGUGAUAAACUGGAGGAAGGUGGGGAUGACGUCAAGUCAUCAUGGCCCUUACGACCAGGGCUACACACGUGCUACAAUGGCGCAUACAAAGAGAAGCGACCUCGCGAGAGCAAGCGGACCUCAUAAAGUGCGUCGUAGUCCGGAUUGGAGUCUGCAACUCGACUCCAUGAAGUCGGAAUCGCUAGUAAUCGUGGAUCAGAAUGCCACGGUGAAUACGUUCCCGGGCCUUGUACACACCGCCCGUCACACCAUGGGAGUGGGUUGCAAAAGAAGUAGGUAGCUUAACCUUCGGGAGGGCGCUUACCACUUUGUGAUUCAUGACUGGGGUG